CUUUCAGCAGGCGAUGGAGUUCGCCUUCAACCGCCCAUUCGGGCUGAUGACUCCUACCGAAUA
rnacentral:ncRNA from 2 species